rnacentral:rRNA from 1 species
GGUUUGAUUCUGGCUCAGAUUGAACGCUGGCGGGAUGCUUUACACAUGCAGAGUCGAACGCCUUUGGACUUCGGUCUGGUGGCGAAGGUGGCGAACGGGUGAGUAAUGUAUCGGAACGUGCUAGUAGCGGGGAUAACUACGCGAAAGCGUAGCUAAUACCGCAUACGCCCUUCGGAAAAGCAGAGGACCUUCGGGCCUCGCACUAUUGAAGCAGCCGAUAUCGGAUUAGCUAGUUGGUGGGGUAACGGCUGCAAGGCGACGAUCGUAGCUGGUUUGAGAGGACGACCAGCCACACUGGGACUGAGACGGCCCAGACUCCUACGGGAGGCAGCAGUGGGGAAUUUUUGGACAAUGGGGGAAACCCUGAUCCAGCCAUCCCGCGUGGUGAUGAAGGCCUUCGGGUUGUAAAGCACUUUUUGGCAGGAAAGAAACGGCACAGGAUAAUACCCCGUGCAACUGACGGGUACCUGCAGAAUAAGCACCGGCUUCUUCUACGUGCCAGCAGCCGCGGUAAUACGUAGGGUGCAAGCGUUAAUCGGAAUUACUGGGCGUAAAGCGUGCGCGGGCGGUUCGGAAAGAAAGAUGUGAAAUCCAGAGCUUAACUUUGGAACUGCAUUUUUAACUACCGAGCUAGAGUGCGUCAGAGGGAGGUGGAAUUCCGCGUGUAGCAGUAGAAAUGCGUAGAUAUGCGAGGAGGGGGAACACACACACACCGAUGGCGAAGAAGGCACGGCCGCAGCAACCUCCUGGGAUAACACUGACGCUCAUGCGAAAGUGAAGUGCCGACAGGAUUAGAUACCCUGGUAGUCCGCCCUAAACGAUGUCAACUAGCUGUUGGGGCCUUCAGGCCUUGGUGGCGCAGCUAACGCGUGAAGUUGACGCCUGAGAAGAUACGGUCGCAAGAUUAAAACUCAAGGAAUUGACGGGGACGCACAAGCGGUGGUUGAAGUGUGGAUUAAUUCGAUGCAACGCGAAAAACCUUACCUACCCUUGACAUGUCUGGAAUCCCGAAGAGGGUGCGGGUGCUCGCAAGGAGAACCGGAACACAGGUGCUGCAUGGCUGUCGUCAGCUCGUGUCGUGAGAUGUUGGGUUAAGUCCCGCAACGAGCGCAACCCUUCAUUAGUUGCUACGAAAGGGCACUCUAAUGAGACUGCCGGUGACAAACCGGAGGGAAGGUGGGGAUGACAUCAAGUCCUCAUGGCCCUUAUCAUUUGAGGGCUUCACACACGUCAUACAAUGGUCGGGACAGAGGGUCGCCAACCCGCAGGAGGAGCCAAUCCCCAGAAACCCGAUCGUAGUCCGGAUCGCAGUCUGCAACUCGACUGCGUAAGUCGGAAUCGCUAGUAAUCGCGGAUCAGCAUGUCGCGGUGAAUGCAUUCGGGUCUUGUACACCGCCCGUACACCAUGGGAGUGGGUUUUACCAAAAUGGUUAGCCUAACCGUAAGGAGGGCGAUUACCACAGUAGGGGAUUUCAAUUCAUGACUGGGAGUGAAGUCGUAACAAGGUAA